rnacentral:rRNA from 1 species
UUAGAGUUUGAUCAUGGCUCAGAACGUACGCUGGCGGCACGCCUAACACAUGCAAGUCGAACGAAGUAGCAAUACUUAGUGGCAGACGGGUGAGUAACAUGUAGGUAUCUGCCCUUUGGCCUGGAAUAACACGAGGAAACUUGUGCUAAUACCGGAUAAGUCUUUACGGAGAAAGCUUUAUGCACCAUUGGAUGAGCCUGCACUUGAUUAGUUUGUUGGUGGGGUAAUGGCCUACCAAGACUGUGAUCAAUAGCUGAUUUGAGAGGAUGAUCAGCCACAUUGGGACUGAGACACGGCCCAAACUCCUACGGGAGGCAGCAGUGGGGAAUCUUGCACAAUGGAGGAAACUCUGAUGCAGCGAUGCCGCGUGAGUGAAGAAGGCCUUUGGGUUGUAAAGCUCUUUCGUCGGGGAAGAAAAUGACCGUACCCGAAUAAGAAGGUCCGGCUAACUUCGUGCCAGCAGCCGCGGUAAUACGAAGGGACCUAGCGUAGUUCGGAAUUACUGGGCUUAAAGAGUUCGUAGGUGGUUGAAAAAGUUGGUGGUGAAAUCCCAGAGCUUAACUCUGGAACUGCCAUCAAAACUUUUCAGCUAGAGUAUGAUAGAGGAAAGCAGAAUUUCUAGUGUAGAGGUGAAAUUCGUAGAUAUUAGAAAGAAUACCAAUUGCGAAGGCAGCUUUCUGGAUCAUUACUGACACUGAGGAACGAAAGCAUGGGUAGCGAAGAGGAUUAGAUACCCUCGUAGUCCAUGCCGUAAACGAUGUGUGUUAGACGUUGGAAAUUUAUUUUCAGUGUCGCAGCGAAAGCGAUAAACACACCGCCUGGGGAGUACGACCGCAAGGUCAAAACUCAAAUGAAUUGACGGGGACCCGCACAAGUAGUGGAGCAUGUGGUUUAAUUCGAAGAUACGCGCAGAACCUUACCAACACUUGACAUGUUCGUCGCGACUUUAAGAGAUUAAAGUUUUCGGUUCGGCCGGACGAAACACAGGUGCUGCAUGGCUGUCGUCAGCUCGUGUCGUGAGAUGUUGGGUUAAGUCCCGCAACGAGCGCAACCCUCACUUUUAGUUGCCAUCAUUUAGUUGGGCACUCUGAAAGAACUGCCAGUGAUAAGCUGGAGGAAGGUGGGGAUGACGUCAAGUCCUCAUGGCCCUUACGUGUUGGGCUACACACGUGCUACAAUGGUAUCUACAACAGGAAGCGAAACAGCGAUGUUAAGCAAAUCCUUAAAAGAUACCUCAGUUCGGAUUGCACUCUGCAACUCGAGUGCAUGAAGCUGGAAUUACUAGUAAUCGUGGAUCAGCGUGCCACGGUGAA